rnacentral:rRNA from 1 species
AGUGAACGCUGGCGGUAGGCCUAACACAUGCAAGUCGAACGGCAGCACAGUAAGAGCUUGCUCUUACGGGUGGCGAGUGGCGGACGGGUGAGGAAUACAUCGGAAUCUACUUUUUCGUGGGGGAUAACGUAGGGAAACUUACGCUAAUACCGCAUACGACCUACGGGUGAAAGCAGGGGAUCUUCGGACCUUGCGCGAUUGAAUGAGCCGAUGUCGGAUUAGCUAGUUGGCGGGGUAAAGGCCCACCAAGGCGACGAUCCGUAGCUGGUCUGAGAGGAUGAUCAGCAACCCUGGAACUGAGACACGGUCCAGCCCCCUACGGAAGGCAGCAGUGGGAAAUAUUGGACAAUGGGCGCAAGCCUGAUCCAGCCAUACCGCGUGGGUGAAGAAGGCCUUCGGGUGGUAAAGCCCUUUUGUUGGAAAGAAAAGCAGCAGGUUAAUACCCCGCUGUUCUGACGGUACCCAAAGAAUAAGCACCGGCUAACUUCGUG